rnacentral:tRNA from 1 species
GAUCAGGUGGCCGAGUGGUUAAGGCGAUGGACUGCUAAUCCAUUGGGGUUUCCCCGCGUGAGUUCCGGUUAAGGCGAUGGACUGCUUGAUCCAUUGGGGUUUCCCCGCGUGAGUUCGAAUCUCAUCCUGAUCG